rnacentral:lncRNA from 1 species
GCGAGUCAUCUUAAGUUGGGUUUUUCUUAGGGUUUUAAAUUCCUUUUGGAGUGCACAAAUCCGUAGCGAAGUCUUUCUGAAUCUCUGUUGAGCCUAUCUCAAAGGCGAAGCGAAUCCCUUCUCAACCUUUUCGUUGGAGUACGUCUCAAACUCCUUUUGAUCCUUUUUGAACUCUUCCCGAAAUUCCCUUCUCAAACCUUUUCUCUUGUUGAUCUCAUCGCAAAUCUCUGCCACUGAAUCUAUCUUGAAUUCGUAGCAACUCCUUUCCAAUCCUUCGUGAUCUCUCUCACCUCCUUGGCGCCUAUCUUGAAUCCCUUUAAAUCUCUUCUUGAAUCUCUCUUAUAUAUUCCUCCGAAUUCAUUUCCGUAUUUAAUUGAAUCUCCGUCAAAUCACUUUGAUUCCCUCUCUGUUUCAGUAAAUCAAAAAUGAGGAAAACCACUUGGCGCAAUCACCCCAGCUCCUUUCUCCCAGCCCAGCUCGUGCUGGCGCUCCCUCGGCCCAGCACCCUUGCGUGGCCCACCUCCCGCAUCCGGCCCAGCCUGCUCUCCACCCCUCCCUGACUCGGCCUGUUCGCACCCCCCUCCUCCACCGGGGCCUUGGCCCAAGCCACCCAGCGGCCCAGGCAGAGGCCCAAGCCGCCCCUACCUCUUCCAACCAGCAACCCUAGGGGCGGCUCCUGCCCAGAGCAGCGCCGCCGCUGCCCCAAUGAGGAGACCCGAGCGCGCCUGCCCUCUCCCCUCGGCGUGCGUGCCCGGAUCGACGCCGCGUAUCCUGCUCGUGGCACGGACGUCGGAGAUGGCCGGCCCUGCUAGAACCCUAAGCCAUGGCUCGUAUAAGUACUCAACGCCAGCUGCCGCCCUUCUUGCUCCCCCGCGCAGCCGCCGCUCUGCUCCCUCGGCAUCAGCCGCGCCCACGGUGCCACCCUCGCCCGGCGACCUCGAAGCCCCUGCCCAAGACGCCGAGCAGGAGCUCCGCAGCCCCGCCAGAGCACGAUGCCGCGACGUCGAGCCCCGACGCGUCCGCGUCCUCGACCUCGCCAUGCCCAAGACUCCACCGAGCCCCGUCCCCGCGCACCGCCGCUGUCGAGCCGCGCCAUCAACAGAGCGGUGACGCCGACCGCUCCGCCCCCAGAGCUCGCGACGCCGCACGUCCUCGUCAAAGACUCCGCCGAGCCCCAUCUUCGACCACCGCGAGCAUGGCGCCCCUCCACGUCGUCCUCGCCCCAAAGCUCUACCACGCCGCCGAAGCCCACGACGCCGUGCUUGUGCCCCGUCACCCCCGCGCACGUGCACCGUCAAGCAGCAGUAGGACCACGGUCGUGACCGCGACCCCGACCGCAACGCCGGUCUACACCACCCCGACGUCGCCCAAGCCCUUGGCCGCGUGCUCGCCGUGGUCACCACCCUGGCAGCAGCGUGGCAACCACGACGUCGCUGCGGUGACCAAGCACCUCGACCCCGUUCGACGUCCACGGCUCCGUCCUCGCCUUUGAGCCCGUGACCAGUACCUCGACGCGCCGCGCACCAAGCCCCACUGCACCGACUGUGAAGUCGUGCUCACCUCGCCGUGGUGAUUGUGAACGCCUCCCUCCGAGCCAGAACAUGCAGCAACGGCAGCACGACCUCAUCGGAGCUCAAUCGAACCGCCGGUGAGCCACCAGUGCCCAAGUCUCCUUCUUUUUCCCCUUCUGUCACGUUCCCGACUGAGACCGGCCUUCGUGCCGCAAUUCAUCCACUGUACAGGGAAGCAGUGGCCUCGUUAUGCCUUUGCCAAGGAUGUGACACCUUCUCGAUGCCUGCUCCACAGCCGGCCAGCAGCAGGCUUGCAGCUGAUCUACGCCCUUCCUCGUGUUCAGCAAGGUCCAUCCUUGAACCUAGCCGACAUCGUCUCCGACAUCGGCAAAACCCUUGUCCUUUCUUAUACCUUUGUACAUACUUGAUAGUUGUCAUCUAUAUCAUCGCCUAUACUUGUUGCAUGACCUAUCUUUAUCUACAUCCAUGUUUGUGCCGUGCCUUCGUGCCGGUCUAUUUAUCCAUCUUUCUAUCUCUUGUGCUAUGGAUGUAUGUGCUACUCCGAGUUGUCGUCUUGAUAGUGUUUUUGUUUAGUCACUGGUUGAGUCACGGCUCUUGCAGUUUGUGCUUUUGUUCUUGUCGUCAUCUGUGGACCGUGCCUUCAAGCUGGUUGAGAGAGUGAUAUGUUUGAGUGUUGCAAUCGCGAGUUCGUCUCGCCAUGGCCGUAAUGCCAAGCAUGUCCCUUCUCUCAUGUUGUCGUUGUUCCUUCUCUUGUUAUUUGCCUGAGGACCGUGCCUUCGAGCCAGUUGAGAGAGCGAUUUGUUUGAACGUUACGAUCGCGAGCUCGUCUCGCCAAGGCCGUGACGCCAAACAUGACCCCUCUCUCGUGCUUUAGUUGUCUUCGUUGUACUACGCUCGUUGGCCCCUAUUCUCGUCCCUCGGACGUGGCCGUCACGGACUCAAUGUCGUUAUCGACGCGGUUCUUACUCGCACACUCGAGACCUAGGUGGCCUAGUCUAGUGGGAUACGAAUUAGGGUACAACCUUCAUGGAAUUGUCGGAGGCCAACUCGUUAGGUGAAGCUCAUGGCCGCAAGUCCACCUUGCCAUGACCAUCGGGCUUUACCCCUUUUCUCGCGUGUUUAUCCUAACCACCUCAUAUGCUUAUGCCACCUAGACCCGGGCAUUUCCAUAGUUCCCGCAGUGACAACCGCAUUGCCUAGAACUAUAGAAAUGACCUUGUGCCGAUUCUGAAGCACCUAGGUCAUGAAGUGUUAUGAGUUGGUGUAGUUCAUGGGGUCGUGUUUAUUUCUCCAACUGUCGUUUGUUCCAUGGUGAGUUGGUUGAAAGAGUGUGAUUUCGUUCUUCUUCUCUCUUGUUCUCCAUCCCCAUCGAUCCAGUAAGAUGUGGAUUGAGCCCCUUUUUGCUUGUUUGAUGUUUUGUUUCCAAUCCCGCGAUUCCCAUCGUUGCUAUGGCGAGCGGAUCAAUGGAAAGUGAAGCCCGUGUCUUUUCUUGCCUUUUUGGUUCUUUGUGUUUAGACUCUUGUAUGCUUGUACCUAUUCAACCAUAGCAUUUCUUUGGUUCUAGUGGUGACAGCCGCACCGCUAAGAACCCUGGUGAUGUCUUAGUACAUCUAGUGCACCUAGGUUGUGGUACCCUACAAGUUGUUUGAGCACUUGUGUUCUUUGUGCGUCACUCUUUCUGAUUCCCCGUCUCUUGCCAUGGCGAGUGGUUUGGAAGGAGUAGACCACUCUCCUUUUCUUCUCUCCCUGUUUCACCCUCUCUUGCUCCCGUCAGUUGCAAUGGCGUAUGAGUUAAGAGAGAGACUGGAACUUCUUGUGCUCAUGGUCUUACCAUCCCCGUCGAUCUCUAUGACACUUGGAUCGGAAGACCGUAAGCCGUGGUGUUUACUUAGAAUAAGUUAGGGUCUACGCCUUUGUUAUUAAAGCCGUACAGGUCGACACGAUCGACCCGGGAAGUACCGGCUAGGCCAAGACUCCAGCUUGUACUUAGUGAACAACCAUUCCCAUUUCUUUUAGCCCAGGGAUCGGAUAUCCGCCGAGAGGGCUAAGCUGUUUUCCUUUUGGUGCUCUUUUAGUGUAGUUGUUCUUAAGUGUUAUGUCGCCUUCUUCGCAAUCUUUCUUGGUCUAGUGGUCUGAUUGUUUCGCCUUGUUUGUCGCUUACAAGGUAGUUGCUUUGGGGUUAGCGAUCGGAUCAGGACUCGUUGGAGGAAGGACAUGCAGAUGGAAUAAGGACCUUGGAUGAACACAACUACAAGUGCACUGAGGAUCUUGGAAAUGUCACUCGACAGGUGCCACGUCCCACCCAACCUCGUAGAAUCCUAUUAGACAUGCAAUAAUGUAGAUGCUAGUGCUUUACUUUUAUGCAAAUAAACUGAGAUAGGUUGCAUGGUAGAAAUGCUUGCGAGCCAUUGCCUUGUUGCAACCUAUAACCCUCGCACACCGGCUGUUAGGUUAGAUGCUUGCAUACUACUUGCUACUGCUUCUGCUACGCAUUAUAUCUGUGAUGUGAUGCAUUGUGGAGGAUUGGAUGUGAGUGGAUAAGGCACAUGGUGCCGAUAACUAGAUAAGGAAUGGAUAAUGGACUUGGGGAGAUCUUGGCGUGUGUCUUGGGUGUGUGGUGAGGGUCGUGUCGACCGAGCAGGAUGUACGACGAGUCUUGGGACAAGUCUUGCCAGGGAAUGCUACCUGGGUGCUCCCCAAGAGAGAUGCCUGUGGCGGGCACAUGUGACAGGGAGAGGUCCCGGAGUGGAGUGUCUUCGUGGGACGAAGUGCCGGGAUGGGAGGCGCUGUUUAGCACGGGGUGACCGGGUGUCCCGUUGAGCGGGGCAUCGGCCGGCCCCACGUGAAGAUGUCUUGUUCGGUCCCCCUAAGGACUCAUGAGUUCUGGGAACCGGUUCGUAGGAAUCCUUGCAUUCCCACUCGCCUUAGCCAUGGAAUGGGACGGAUGUACGACCAGCUAGGGCGGUGCCACUACUACUAGGUUGAUAGCGAAAAGUGUAGGGAGGUACGGGCAUGGGACCCACACCCUCCUAAGACAGCGUAGUGACCUUGGGGGCCCGGUACUACGUCUCACAGUCUCAGCAUGUCGGUGGUACUCCGGCAUGGCCCUAGUUCUGAGUGGUAGUGUGGCAUCGUGUUUAGUUGGGAGGCAGCCCGACAUCAGCCUAUGUGGGGCGCUCCACCGAUGAUGGUGAUCUUGUGGGUAGUGCAAACCUCUGCAGAGUUGAUCGAUCGAUACAUAUGCCGUUUACGGCUAUGGACCUUUCCUAUGUUUCCGCUUCACUUGACUAGUGAGAGGAGUCCCUUCUACCUUCCCCUGGGUUUGUGUUGGAUCCGACGUUGGCCGUUGAGGCAAGGCACGAGCGGGAGUCGUACUUGCCGCCUAGAGAGUGAGAGUGUGGUGAGAUGUGUGUGAUGGGAUGGAUGGAUGGACGUGUGGUUGAGAUGGAUUAAAACUUGAUGAAUUUUUAUUUAUAAAUAUUGAUGAACUUGCAUAGGAAAAACUACAGCCAUGUAUAUAGGCCUCUUGAUCUACCCUUUGCAUUCCACUUACCACAAAGCUUACGCAAAAGCAUAGGGUGGGAGCCAGUGGCCAGUACAAAUUGUACUGAAAAUUGUUUAGCAGGUUUUGAAUGUGGUCUAUGACGAUAACUACGAAGAAUAGAAGGAUUAGGUGGUCUCGUUCCUGCGCUCAAGUUUGGUUUGGAGAUGAAGGCUAUGCCCGCUGAUAAACUACGCCGACUCUGAUGAUUGCUCGUGAAGGAGGAGCCUUCACCCCUGACGUGCUACAUCAACUCUGAUAAAGACCCGCGUAUGUUUCCGCUAGAAAAACGAUGUAAUAGGCUUGUUGACCAAGAGUUGUAAAGUAAAUGUGUUGUAAUUUUAUUUUUCUACAAUGUAUGACUAUGAUAACAGCUAAUAUAUGAUAAUGUGAUGGCUCAAUUUUUGAAUUAUCACAUUAUAAUUCGAACCUGUGGAUUUUCCCCUUUGUGGAACAAUCUAGGUCGUUUCAGUUGGUAUCAGAGCCAUACUUGACCCUAGGACGAGACCGUUAGUACCAAACACUAGUUUAGAAGCCAAACGUUCUAUCUUUUGUAGGGUUAUAGAUGCUAACACGUGUUUUCCCCCUCCGCCUUGAAUACUGCUGCUAACUGACCUCCCUGUUUCAUAAAUUUGACUGUUACAAUCUUUUCCCAUACCUGCCCACGCUAGAUGGGUAGUCGUGUGAGACUUUGAAGGUCUGUGAGUCGCCUCAAGUCAACACUAUGCAUUAGGAGUUGUAAUGCUAUUUGAGUGCUUGGAUCUUAUGUUGUUGCAUUUAUUCUGCUUCUUGUUGUCUGAGUGUAAGUCAUAGAACCUGUUUUAUGCGAGAAAGACUCUGGAUCCCGUCCAACCUAGCCGGCUAAUCCUAAGACUGUCCCGAGACUAGAUAGGUGACCGUGGCUAGCAGAGCUGAAAAAGGGUGUAAAGCUGAUGCAUCAUGUCUUAGCCAACCAUUUCAAAACUAUUUUUGGCUUCCAACAAAACCUGUCUUCAAAAGUUUCCCUCCUUUUGAUUGAAAAAGUCAUCUCUUUAGCUAAAGCAUCUCUAUUGCAAAGGAAAAAGUAUUCCAAAACUCUCUCAAUAUCUUUCCUUUUCACAAAGAAAGCAAUUUUAACCCCUUUCUCAACUCAAUUUUAUUCAAACUCUAUUUAUGAAAUGAUUUAAAAAUAAGUUAUCUUUCAAAAGGUGUUACCAACCAUCUUCUAAAAAACAAAAGUCUUGCUUUUUCAUCAACAAAGUGGUUUUUGAAUCAAAGAUCUUUGGCUCAAUUUUGUAUUAAAGGCCUUUGAUUUCAUCUCGAGAGCCAAAUUCCUUUAAAAAAUUAACCUUAUCUUAAAAAAAAUCCAAACUGAUUUAUUAACUAAAAGAAAUUGUUGCGAAAAGAUUUUGUUGCAACCUUUCAAAGAAAAAUUUCAGCAAAAACUGAAAGAACUUACAAGUUUCAAAAAAAAUGUUGAAAAGCAAGAUUUGGUUGUGAAAGCUUUAUCUUUCAAAAUGAGAAAUGAUUUCUUGUCAUUUUCAAAACUAGUUUGUUUGACUCAAACAAAAAAAAGAGAGCAAUACCUUGUUUAAAAAGAAUAAUAAAAUAAAUGAGUUUCAAACCUCCUGAUUUGAAGUCACUCAAAAAAAGUAUAUAAAAAAAAAUCAAUCAAGAGAAUUGGUUUUCAAAACCUGCAUCGAUUUCAACCCUCUUCAAAAGCUCUCUUCAGUUUGAGGUCUCUUUUAAAAAAAAGGCUGGUGAAAGGCAAUAACCCUAGCUAACUUGAGCCCGCCAUACCUUUUGUUGAUCAGACGCCAGUCCUUGGAAGAGUAUCAAGCAAGUGGACGAUAAGGUUGAACACGAUGAUCUAGGCCAACUAAAAAUAGUCUUAACUUUGAGAGCCAGAUGUUCAUAAACCCGGUGCGAUUCGUGGAUACCCCAUUGCCUCGGUGUAAGAAUUUGGAUACCCAACACCAGCGAGUGAGCCUUGGAUACAUCCUGAACAUGACUCGCCCCCACAUGGAAAAGGUUUGUGGAGCCAUCUUUCUGAUAGUGAAACAGCUCAGAAGUAAGAAGAACUUUGGAAACAGUAACCCCACCUCUUCACCGACCGAGCGACGCCUAAAUCUCGGGGACGAGAUUCCUAUAAGGUGGGUGGACUGUAACAUCCCGGAUUUUUAUGGAAACCAAAAAUACGAGCUUUUUAAAAUUUUUCCUGUAAUCGUGUGAAUCAUAUAGUUUUUAGGUCUAACUCGAUCCUAUCCCGUUAACAAAUCGUGGCAUACAUGUAGAUUUGCUUGUAGGUGAGUGCUCUUGUUCGCGAGUCAUCUUAAGUUGGGUUUUGCUUAGGGUUUUAAGUUCCUUUUGGAGUGCACAAAUCCAUAGCAAAGUCUUUCUGAAUCUCUGUUGAGCCUAUCUCAAAGGCGAAGCGAAUCCCUUCUCAACCUUUUCGUUGGAGUACGUCUCAAACUCCUUUUGAUCCUUUUUGAACUCCUCCCGAAAUUCCCUUCUCAAACCUUUUCUCUUGUUGAUCUCAUCGCAAAUCUCUACCGGUGAAUCUAUCUUGAAUUCGUAGCAACUCCUUUCCAAUCCUUCGUGAUCUCUCUCACCUCCUUGGCACCUCUCAUGAAUCCCUUUAAAUCUCUUCUUGAAUCUCUCUUAUAUAUUCCUCCGAAUUCAUUUCCGUAUCUAAUUGAAUCUCCGUCAAAUCACUUUGAUUCCCUCUCUGUUUCAGUAAAUCAAAAAUGAGGAAAACCAUUUGGCCCAAUCGCCCCAGCUCCUUUCUCCCAGCCCAGCUCGUGCUGGCGCUCCCUCGGCCCAGCACCCUUGCGUGGCCCACCUCCCGCAUCCGGCCCAGCCUGCUCUCCACCCCUCCCUGACUCGGCCUGUUCGCACCCCCCCCUCCUCCACCGGGGCCUUGGCCCAAGCCACCCAGCGGCCCAGCUCCAAGCCGUGUGUGUUUCCGCUAGAAAAAUGAUGUAAUAGGCUUGUUGACCAAGAGUUGUAAAGUAAAUGUGUUGUAAUUUUGUUUUUCUACAAUGUAUGACUAUGAUAACAGCUGAUAUAUGAUAAUGUGAUGGCUCAAUUUCUGAAUUAUCACAUUAUAAUUCGAACCUGUGGAUUUUCCCCUUUGUGGAAAAAUCUAGGUCGUUUCACGGUGUUUCUCCAACACACAGAAAUAUUAUAUCAAAAAAGACUAUGAGCCUAAUUCUCCCGCAUGCCCAAGCGUUCAGCGCCAAACCAAAAACCAAAUCUAAACCAGGGUUGGUUUCCAGCGACAAAAAAGAAAGAAAAUACUAGAAAAUAAAAAAAACCUAAACCUUAUCUCCUCAGCCCCACACGGACGCACACCACGUCCAACUCCAACACAUGGACAGAACCAGUCCGCAUGCCGCAUGCCGCAACCUCCGCCUCCGCUACGCUCUGGGCACGCCGCCUCGCUCCGCCUCCACCACCAGCCCGCCCACCCUCACCCUCUCUGCUCCCUUCACCGCUCCCUCCACUUCAUCGCACGCUAGUACUCAUGGAGACAGCUCUUGAGGCCGUGGUUCCCUUCCCUAGCCUUGUCCCCCUGUCAUCCUCUAGAUCUAGCUCGAGGAGCACGUGAAGGAAGCCAUGCCGGUGGCGAAUCUGUGGAAAUUCGAUGACAGGUGGUUUCUUUCCUCCUAUUUUUCAUUCAUGUACUGGAUCGCAGGUCGAAUUUGAUUUCUUCCCCUUCCUACAGUUCCGAUAGAUUACAAUCUGCUUCUCUUGGAUCUAGGGUUGGUUUAUUUGGGAGGGCAAAUCACUUACCCUAGAGCUGCUCGAGAAAGAGAAGAUUACUGGAUAGUGCACAUGGAAGAUCGAUAGGGCUACAGCUAAAGGGGAAGUCGAUUCGGUCUUCAUGCGACUUCUGAGUCUUUCU